rnacentral:misc_RNA from 1 species
GAUGAAGAACGUAGCGAAAUGCGAUAACUAAUGUGAAUUGCAGAAUUCAGUGAAUCAUCGAGUCUUUGAACGCACAUUGCGCCCCCUGGUAUUCCGGGGGGCAUGCCUGUCCGAGCGUCAUUGCUGCCCUCAAGCACGGCUUGUGUGUUGGGCUCCGUCCCCCCGGGGACGGGCCCGAAAGGCAGCGGCGGCACCGAGUCCGGUCCUCGAGCGUAUGGGGCUUUGUCACCCGCUCUGUAGGCCCGGCCGGCGCCAGCAGACAACCCAUCAUCCUUUUCAGGUUGACCUCGGAUCAGGUAGGGAUACCCGCUGAACUUAAGCAUAUCAAUAAGCGGAGGA